rnacentral:sRNA from 1 species
GCCAAAGGACAGCCUUUAGAGACAGGAACAUCACGAACAAUUGGGGCAUUCUGGAAAAUUCAGAUUGUCAGAGGAGAAGAGGAGACCAGCUCCGGGAUUAUUAAGCAGAAACCCUCAGAGAGUUCAGAGGGAAAGCAAGUGACUUGGUGGCCGCUGGCAGGGAGGGACUUUGGAGUGAAGCGCUGCGUGGCCGGGUUGCAAACACCAAGAAAGAAACCGUUUUCAAAUGGCUCAAGGAUGAUGUUCUGUAUGAAACGGAGACACUGCCUAACCUGGAGAGGGAAUCUGUGAGCUGCUCAUCCCAAAGUUGUCAAAGAAGGACCACGGUGAAUACAAGGCAACCUUGAAAGAUGACAGAGGGCAAGAUGUGUCCGUCCUUGAAAUAGCUGGCAAAGUGUAUGAUGAUAUGAUUUUGGCAAUGAGUAGAGUCUGUGGGAAAUCUGCUUCGCCACUGAAGGUACUCUGCACCCCAGAAGGAAUACGACUUCAGUGUUUCAUGAAGUAUUUUACAGAAGAAAUGAAAGUGAACUGGUGUCACAAAGAUGCUAAGAUCUCAUCCAGUGAGCAUAUGAGAAUCGGGGGGAGUGAAGAGAUGGCCUGGCUGCAGAUAUGUGAGCCGACCGAGAAGGAUAAAGGAAAAUACA